AAUACACUGACGUCAUCCGAGGUCAUCAAGAUGGCAGCGUUUGACAACUAGUCGGUUUUCUCAUAAGAGUCAAUGCUAAUAUUUUCGGAAUUCAUUUAAAUUUGAGAGUGUGUCAACUGUGUUUUUAUAGUUUGGAGAAAAUGCCUAAAUUUUGUGCUGUUGUGGGUUGCGCAAAUCGAAACACCAGAAAUGCGGACAAAUUUUAUAGUCCUUUCGCAGCAAUUAGCAACAAUAAUGGUAAAUAUAUACAGGAUGGGGAAAAAGGCGGAAGCUUUGGUUAAAAGCCUUGAAACGAGUGGAUUUAACGAAGCCAAAGUAAAGUAUUCCUAUGUUUGUUCGGAUCAUUUUAUUUUAGGUACAGUACCUACCUAUUAGAUUUACAGUUUCUAACAAAUUACUACAUUGGUGCUCUUUUAGGUAAACCUGCAGAUUUGUCGGAUGUGGACCAUCCUGAUUAUGUUCCAUCACAAAAUUUAGGAUAUCAAAAUAAAUCCACGCAUAAUACUUGUAAUGUUGAAAGACACAGUUGUUUAAAAAAGAGAAAAUUGAAUAAAUGUCUCUAGACUUUUGAA